rnacentral:rRNA from 1 species
GGCCUUGACAUACUAAGAACUUUCCAGAGAUGGAUUGGUGCCUUCGGGAACUUAGAUACAGGUGCUGCAUGGCUGUCGUCAGCUCGUGUCGUGAGAUGUUGGGUUAAGUCCCCGNAACGAGCGCAACCCUUUUCCUUAUUUGCCAGCGGGUCAUGCCGGGAACUUUAAGGAUACUGCCAGUGACAAACUGGAGGAAGGCGGGGACGACGUCAAGUCAUCAUGGCCCUUACGGCCAGGGCUACACACGUGCUACAAUGGUCGGUACAAAGGGUUGCUACCUCGCGAGAGGAUGCUAAUCUCAAAAAGCCGAUCGUAGUCCGGAUCGCAGUCUGCAACUCGACUGCGUGAAGUCGGAAUCGCUAGUAAUCGCGGAUCAGAAUGCCGCGGUGAAUACGUUCCCGGGCCUUGUACACACCGCCCGUCACACCAUGGGAGUUUGUUGCACCAGAAGUAGGUAGUCUAACCGCAAGGAGGACGCUUACCACGGUGUGGCCGAUGACUGGGGUGAAGUCGUAACAAGGUAAGCGUAGAUGA